rnacentral:rRNA from 1 species
UACGUAGGGUGCGAGCGUUGUCCGGAAUUAUUGGGCGUAAAGAGCUCGUAGGCGGUUUGUUGCGUCUAUCGUGAAAACCUGCAGCUUAACUGUGGGCUUGCGGUGGAUACGGGCAGACUUGAGUUCGGUAGGGGAGACUGGAAUUCCUGGUGUAGCGGUGAAAUGCGCAGAUAUCAGGAGGAACACCGGUGGCGAAGGCGGGUCUCUGGGCCGAUACUGACGCUGAGGCACGAAAGCGUGGGGAGCAAACAGG